CGAUCAUCCGGAACCAGUGGAAAAGGUGUGCUAACCGAACUAUCGUGUCCAAGGACGAAGCCUCGAGGCGACCCACCGAAGCCGCGUCUCCUCUUCCGUUUUCAAAUAUCUCCCACCCCCUAUUCCCACUUUCCUCCAUCCAUUGUACUCCCAAGAGGUGGAAGGAGAGCUCAGCCUCUGGCUUUCAUUCAAUGCCUAUCUCCUUGGUCCUCAAAAGAGGUUUUCUAGGGUUUGAAAGGUCGAUCUUAUUUCCAGCUCUUCCGCCAUGAAUCUCGAAUGGACUGAUGUAGAAGGUUGUGAAUGAUGUCAUUGGAGUUUCUUAUUGGCAAUUGGUAAUAAAUGUUUUAUCCAUGGACUUCUAGUUAUCUAUUUUGCAAAUUUUUUUCUGGCCUAUCAUUUUUUUGUACACCACAGGUUGGUAACUUUAAAAUGCUUCAUUGAGAUUGGACAUCUUGUGGAUGAUUUGUGAACUCAUGGUAAUAAAUAGGGUGUAAAGUUGUUUGUCACUACAGAGGCAUGGAGAUAUUCAAAACUAUGUUCUUCUAUCGUGCUGUAUCUGUUGUUUUGAGCCUGUUUUUGAGCCGUUAUCAUGAUUCUAUCAGAUCCAGGUAAUGUCAUUAUUAUCAGGUUCUAUCAGAUCCUAAGGUUGCUUUCUGGCUCAUAAUGGAAAUUUAGUAUUUUGAAAGCGUCCUGAUGUACCGCAUGAAGCUGACUCAAAGUAAUGGGAUCAGGUUUAUCAUUUAUGUUUUCUGUCUAUGUUUUGAGUUAUUUGGUUAUAUCAGCUGUAGUUUUCUAACAAUCACAAAGGUGGCGUAAGGCUAGUUCUGUGUU